AUGUGGCUUGCUUACUGGGCGUUCCAUGCAUGGCUUUCGAAAACUGGUGGUCGAGAUGCAGAUGUUGGUUCCGUUGUGUAAAGAAUUCGACGCAACGUGGUGUUCUAGUUGGGAUCAUGCCGACGCUGAUUUCUUGGAGACUCGAGAAGUGGAGGUGUGACACGUGUGUGCAGGGACGGCAUGAUUCUUUGGAGAAGAUUUGGUGUUCAAUCAAAUUUUGGUUGCAAGUCUUUUCGUCCAAGCUGCUGAAGGUAAGAGCUUUAUCUAAUAUAGAUCGUAGUAUUCUUUUUGAGUUGGGCAUUCCGAUGAAGGAGGUGGUAAUAAAGAGGCCGAAAAUAGUUGCGUAGUGUAAACCACGGGAAGGGUGGAUGAAAUUAAAUGUGGAUGGAUCAUGUAGGGGAAAUCUAAGUAGUUGUGGAGGGGGUGGGGUUAUAAGGGAUGAUAGAGGAAGAUUUUUGGCAGCCUUCUAUACUAAAUUUGGCUUUGGAACAAAUAACGAAGCUGAGUUAAAGGCGCUCAAUUGUGGUUUAGUCCUUUGUAAGGAGUUGGGAUUCCAAAAUAUUGUGAUUGAAAGUGAUCCAGCAUUGGUGAUUAAUUGGCUUAGGAAAAAGGAGUGCACAAUGUGGUAUCUAUGGGGCUUUUGGUUUGAAGUUAUGUAACGGUUGAAUGGUAUUCAAUACAUGGUGACACACCAAUUUAGGGAGGGGAAUAAAGUUGUUGAUUUCCUCUCUAGGCAGGGCGAGGAGGGGAUGGAUUGUAUUUAUAUGGAUUCUGUUGAAUUGCCUCGUCGUGCUUGAGGUUUGCUUUGGUUGGAUUUUCUGGGAUUGCCUAGUUUUAGGCUGUGAGUAGUUUGUAGUUGUUUAAGGGUUAUUGUUGGUGUCCCGGUGUAUUGGUUUAUUUGUUGGUUUGUUAUUCCUUGGUCAUAAGGUUGAGUUUGGUUGGACUUGUAACCACGGUUUCCCUCUACCAUAAGCGAUGAUUUAUUAAUAAAUGUUGGGAGGGGUCACUCUUGAAUACGUGACCCUGAAUCUUAACUAAAAA